AAAUGGUGAUGGGGACAUUAGUUUAUGAGGGGAUUAUAAUGUUCCCAAGCUUCAUAAAACAAUUCACCAUGUUGCUGUGUGAAGAAGUAGAUUUUAUCCCUUAAUUU